AAUAUCGAACCUGGCCCCCUGGCCACGUCUACCUUGCAAACCCGUGGAAGCGAACCGUGCUUCGGCGCCCCGGCGUCGAGUUUAUGCUGCAGUUGGUAGUUUGCGUCUGAAUCAAACCGAAGAACAUAAAACUUUCAACAGAGGGUCUCUUGGCUCUUGUAUCGAUGAAGAACGCAGCAAAGCGCGAAAUGUAGUGAACAUAGCAGCACAAUUGUGAAUCAUCGAAUCUUUGAACGCACAUUGCGCCUCCGGUAGCUCGGAGGCAUGCCUGUCUGAGCGUCAUUUAAAACCAUGGACCCAGGAUUGGGUCCGUAUUGGGCGUCGCCCCCCUCUCCAGAGUGGCGCGUGGCCUCAAAGACAUUGGUCUCACAUGCGGACGAGCUCCCCUGGGACAGACCGCGUGGAGACCCUAAGCAUCUGGCUUUGAUCUCAGAUCAGGUAGGACUACCGCCUG
rnacentral:rRNA from 1 species